rnacentral:rRNA from 1 species
AGUGAACGCUGGCGGUAGGCCUAACACAUGCAAGUCGAACGGCAGCACAGUAAGAGCUUGCUCUUACGGGUGGCGAGUGGCGGACGGGUGAGGAAUACAUCGGAAUCUACUUUUUCGUGGGGGAUAACGUAGGGAAACUUACGCUAAUACCGCAUACGCCCUACGGGUGAAAGCAGGGGAUCUUCGGACCUUGCGCGAUUGAAUGAGCCGAUGUCGGAUUAGCUAGUUGGCGGGGUAAAGGCCCACCAAGGCGACGAUCCGUAGCUGGUCUGAGAGGAUGAUCAGCCACACUGGAACUGAGACACGGUCCAGACUCCUACGGGAGGCAGCAGUGUGGAAUAUUGGACAAUGGGCGCAAGCCUGAUCCAGCCAUACCGCGUGGGUGAAGAAGGCCUUCGGGUUGUAAAGCCCUUUUGUUGGGAAAGAAAAGCAGCAGGUUAAUACCCCGCUGUUCUGACGGUACCCAAAGAAUAAGCACCGGCUAACUUCGUG